CGGCCUGCGAUGGUCGUAAUGUUGGUGCAAGCAUAUAAAAAAUAAAGCUUGACGCUCCUUAAGGGGUGAUGACGGGGAAUAGGAUAAGGCGAAAGCUACUACUUAUUCUCUAUAAAGUGCCACAGAGACGAGCUAUGCAGAAAUGCAUAGGUGAAACGCGGUAAACUCCUCCAGGAA
rnacentral:misc_RNA from 1 species